CCUACGGGAGGCAGCAGUGGGGAAUAUUGCACAAUGGGCGAAACCCUGAUGCAGCAACGCCGCGUGAGUGAGGAAGUAUUUCGGUAUGUAAAGCUCUAUCAGCAGGGAAUAAAAAUUAAGGUACCGGAAAAAGAAGACCCGGCUAACUACGUACCAGCAGCCGCGGUAAUACGUAGGGGGCAAGCGUUAUCCGGAUUUACUGGGUGUAAAGGGAGCGUGGACGGGUAGGCAAGUCAGAAGUGAAAACCCUAGGCUCAAACAAGGGACUGCUUUUGAAACUGUCAAACUAGAGUACGGGAGAGGUAAGAGGAAUUCCUAGUGUAGCGGUGAAAUGCGUAGAUAUUAGGAGGAACACCAGUGGCGAAGGCGUCUUACUGGACCGAAACUGACGUUGAGGCUCGAAAGCGUGGGGAGCAAACAGGAUUAGAUACCCUAGUAGUC
rnacentral:rRNA from 1 species